AUAAGACUCUCGGCAACGGAUAUCUAGGCCCUCACAUCGAUGAAGAACGUAGCAAAAUGCGAUACUUGGUGUGAAUUGCAGAAUCCGGUGAACCAUCGAGCCUUUGAACGCAAGUUGCGCCCGGAGCCUUCGGGCCGAGGGCACGCCUGACUGGGCGUCACGC
rnacentral:rRNA from 1 species